AAGUCGUAACAAGGUUUCCGUAGGUGAACCUGCGGAAGGAUCAUUAUAGUUCUGUUGCCAGCGCUUGGGUGCGCGGCGAUUCCUUUACACUUGUCUAUUUUUACAGAUAUUGCUUUGGGUUGCCCUGCCUAGGCUCUGCCUAGGCCCCAGCCCAGAGAUUUAAACACCAGAGAUUAAUUCUUUCUAACCACAGUCAAUUUUAACCAAAUUACAAUAUCAAAACUUUCAACAACGGAUCUCUUGGUUCUC
rnacentral:misc_RNA from 1 species